UACGUAGGGGCCUAGCGUUGUCCGGAUUUAUUGGGCGUAAAGAGCUCGUAGGCGGUUUGGUAAGUCGGGUGUGAAAUCUCCACGCUCAACGUGGAGGGGCCACCCGAUACUGCCAUGACUGGAGUCCGGUAGGGGAGUGUGGAAUUCCCGGUGUAGCGGUGAAAUGCGCAGAUAUCGGGAGGAACACCGGUGGCGAAGGCGGGUCUCUGGGCCGAUACUGACGCUCAUGCACGAAAGCGUGGGGAGCAAACAGG
rnacentral:rRNA from 1 species